UGUAAUUUUUUUACAGGAGGCACAAGAGAAUCGUCCUGUUUCUUAUCGUGAAGUGUAUAACAAAGUUCACAAAAAAAAUGAUGGUGAAUUUGUCUCAACUAGGGCAAAGAAAUUUAUUGAAACAUAUGAAGAAUCAAUGACACAAAAAUAUGGAGAAGACACUUCAUCUCAUCCUGUAAUUGAUUCUGAUCUUUGGUUAAAAGCUGCAGGU